CCCGGUUCCCAGGCGGGUGCUGCUGCUGCAGCUGCUGCUGCUGCGAGGCCGAAGACGAGCCGGCGGUCAGGCCGUCCAGCACCUUCCUGAUGUUGAAUUUCCUCAUGGUCUCGGCGGGGUCCCCCGCAGCCCGGGAGGAGAGAGACUAGAGAAACCACAUGUUGAACCUGGAACAGCUACUAUCAGCCUGGGCCACUGAAUAAUUGCAUGAGGGAGAGCCACCCACCGGCCUGAAAUACCUGCUCUAGAAUUUCAUAUGAGAAACUGAGCCAGGAAGAAAUUACAUCUGUUGCCCAAGGUUACGUGGCUGGUAAGUGAAAGAUCCCAGGCAACCUGGCAACAGAGUUUAUGUACUUAACUAGCAGACAACACUACCUCUCAACUUCAAAUGUGUUGUCCUGCUGAGUAGCCAUCCUGGGAGGCUGUACAAUUCCAUCUAUGUUGGCAUUACUGAAGACAUUCCUGUACUUUCUUCAAUGUGAUUGAUUGAUGAUAAAUUAAAAGCCAAUCUAAACAGAGCGAAAUACCCCCAGCAGCUCAAUCUGGCAGUAUAAAAAGGAAGUGAGCUGUCCUUCUCA